rnacentral:rRNA from 1 species
GACGAACGCUGGCGGCGUGCUUAACACAUGCAAGUCGAACGGAAAGGCCCUGCGUUUGUGGGGUGCUCGAGUGGCGAACGGGGGAGUAACACGUGUGUAACCUGCCCUUGUCUUUGGGAGAACUUCAGGAAACUGGGGCUAAUAUCGUAUAGGAUCUCCUGCACCGUGGUGGGGGUUGGAAAGUUUCGGCUGUUGGGGAUGGACUGGCGGCUUAUCAGCUUGUUGGUGGGGUAGGUGCUUACCAAGGCUUUGACGGGUAGCCGGCCUGAGAGGGUGACCGGGGACCUGGGGACUGCGGUACGGACCAGACUGGUAUGGGAGGCAGUGGUGGGGAACAUUGCACAGUGGGCCGGAGCCUGAUGCAGCAACGCCGCGUGCGGGAUGACGGCUUUCGGGUUGUAAACAGCUUUCGCCUGUGACGAAGCGUGAGUGACGGUACUGGGUAAAGAAGCACCGGCUAACUACGUG